AGUAAGAGAUAAAUGAAGAACAACGUAGGAAAAGCAAUUCCACCCUUUCAACUUGAAUGUUGGGGGGUCCAUUGUUGAAGGCUAGAUUUGAUUAUUCCACUCCCAUUUUGGGUUCUUUCUUGAGGUGUAGUUGUAGUUGUGGUUGUUGGAUAUGCGUUGUUGAACUUUCUGAUGAUUGCCCCAUGUGAUGUAACCUUUUGGAUACUUGUAAAUAUCUCCUAGUGAGUCGAAUGGAGAUAAAACUGAUACUGAAGGAUAUAUGUAAACAUUAUUAUCUUUCCAUUGUGCCCUUUGAGAUCAAAUUAUUAGCGAAAUUCGUUCGACUGCACCUAUUUUUUGAGAAUUGGGUAAAACAGACUUAGUUGAGAAAUACAGUGGUCCCUAACUAUCCCCGCAUGUGUCUUCCAUUAUACAUGUUAUUGUAUCUAUGUCUCUAUGAGCAUAUAGAGAUGCUUUAUGGAUAAUGAGAUGGCUGAGGUGCCCGUUGCCUUGUGCGGGAGUGUUGGCAAGCGGAUUAAAAGCGCGUUGUUAUGGGUGGUGACUACUGCUAUUGUCUGUGGUCUGGUGCUUGGGAAUUGGGAUAUUAUAUGUGAUUCUUGAACCAUUUAUUGAAAGCAGUGGCUCAACAAGGGAAUAAUACAAUGGAAGAAAAAGACCGUCAAAAUGCUACCGACUCUCCCAAGGUGGAUUCUGCGGAGAACGUAUUACCACAAAGAUCCAUAGCUUCACUUGGCUCAGAAAACACAGCUUCACUUGCUUCAGAAAGAAAUAAAUAAUCUCAAGAAACAGAAGCAGCAUUCUAGAACUGCGAAAUGUCAAUGCCUUGGAGAGGCUGGCAAGGCUAAAACAAAGGUUGUUGAACUAACCCAGAAACUCAAAACAGUGACUGAGUCAAAGAUCAAGGCAACAGAAGUUGUGCAGAACAAACUAAAAGAAGUAAGCGGUGAUAAUCCUGUGGGAAGUGCUGGUGCCAAUAAACAGGACAUGGAAAAUAAAAGAGCACAGUACGUGACUGAAGAUAGCAGAAUCAUGCUAGAGAAAGCCCAGGAAGGGCUAAAAGUUGCACAGGGGGAACUUAAUAAAGCAAUAGCUCCUGAUGCUAAGGCCCGUGAUGAGAUCAAAGUCCUGUCUAAGAGAAAAAAGAAGUUGGCUGCUGAUGUAGCUCUAUUAGAAAAAACAAUUUGUAAUCUUCUAAAAUAAUGUAGAAUAAGUAUUUAAAUAUCUAAGUUUAAAAUAAUUAGAAGUGUGUAGAAUUAAUAAUUACACUAGAAGAUAUUUGUAUUUAUGCAAAUGAAUAGGACUAGAUAAUUCUAGAAGAAGCAUGAGAGAUGUUUUGUAAUUAAGCACAUGGGCUCUAUAAAUAGAGCUAAGUUGUACUCACUUUUUCGAAGUAAUGAAAAGCACUUCUAUAAA